CGUUUCCUCUAAAGAUGGAAUCUAAUGGGUUCCGUUGGAAUUAAGAAGAGGGAGGCGUCAUGCUGACCGCAGGCAGGUUUCCAAUCACCGCGUCUCCAGGCGGCUGGUCAGUUAUCGAUUCUUGUCAAACGGGAGUCACGCGCAGGAUCGCGGAGUUGAGAAAAAGUCUGCAAUUGAUUGUGGGGUUUUUAAAACAUUUCCGGUGAUGACUUGAUAUAGAAGACGCGAUACGGACACUUUGGAUAAACUUGUCAAUUCAAGUUACGUGUUCCAUUUAUUGCGAUUUUCCCUGAAUUCUAUGAUAUGGCUCAGUGAGUAACACAAGAACCUAUUAAAAAAUGUAGUGUGUUCAAAGAUAAGUAUUUAAAAUAUAAAAAAAACGCGAAAGACAUUUUAACACAAGUAAAGUUAAUAAGCAGUACGGACCACGAAAUGAGAAAUUGUCGCGAUUCUGUUACUCUCAUGGCUAUUUUAUACAAUAUCCCUUAAGCUUUGAAAGCUCGGAGAAAAACGUGACGUUUUGGGGGCAUCGUCCGGGAUUGCAAACUUCUGCUGAGGGCAACCCACGAGCAGCGAGGAACCCAACAAAGGGAGCGACUGUCCUAGGCCUAAGGGACCCACUGGUGACCAAGACCGAGCAAAAGUUAGGGCUGGCCCAUCCCGCGGUCCACGGAUCGACUCGGACGGAAUACUCCAUCGCCACAGAGAGGUCUUCAACGAACAUUGAAGGAGGUGCAUCAGCAGGUGCGGCAGGACCAGCGAACCCCCAACCGGGAAGACACGCUGAAGCUGCUCCCAGGCAAUUGGGUUCUCAUCCUUGACGUACGGAGGAAACAUUGGAACCAGCCCCGGUGGAGAGGCCCUCGGCAACUUCUGCUGUCCACGCCCCACGCUGUGAAAAUAGAAGGCAUCGACUCGUGGACUCACGUACCUACUGCCGGACAGUAGCAGACCCGGUGGCACCAUGAAUAAACUCCAAGCACCUUGGAAGCCUUUCCGCA
ensembl:lncRNA